rnacentral:rRNA from 1 species
GAUGAACGCUGGCGGCGUGCCUAAUACAUGCAAGUCGAGCGAACGGACGAGAAGCUUGCUUCUCUGAUGUUAGCGGCGGACGGGUGAGUAACACGUGGAUAACCUACCUAUAAGACUGGGAUAACUUCGGGAAACCGGAGCUAAUACCGGAUAAUAUUUUGAACCGCAUGGUUCAAAAGUGAAAGACGGUCUUGCUGUCACUAAUAGAGGGAUCCGGGCUGCAUUAGCUAGUUGGUAAGGUAACCGCUUACCAAGGCGACGAUGCAUAGCCGACCUGAUAGGGGGAUCGACCACCCGGGAGCGUGGACACGGUCCAUACUCCUACGGUAGGCAGCAGUAGGGAAUCGUCCGCAGUGGGCGAAAGCCUGACGGAGCAACGCGGCGUCAGUGAUGAAGGUCUUCGGAUCGUAAAACUCUGUUAUUAGGUAAGAACAUAUGUGGAAGUAACUGUGCCCUUCGUGACGGUACCUAGUCAGAAAGCCACGGCUAACUACGUG